UACGUAGGGUGCGAGCGUUGUCCGGAAUUAUUGGGCGUAAAGAGCUUGUAGGCGGUUUGUCGCGUCUGCUGUGAAAAUCCGGGGCUCAACCCCGGACUUGCAGUGGGUACGGGCAGACUAGAGUGUGGUAGGGGAGACUGGAAUUCCUGGUGUAGCGGUGAAAUGCGCAGAUAUCAGGAGGAACACCGAUGGCGAAGGCAGGUCUCUGGGCCACUACUGACGCUGAGAAGCGAAAGCUAGGGGAGCGAACAGG
rnacentral:rRNA from 1 species